ACAACAACAUUCGGACCGUCGGUCUACCGAGCAAUAUCACCCGCUCGGUGGAAGAUCUUCCCUCCGUCGUUAAAC
rnacentral:pre_miRNA from 1 species